GACGAACGCUGGCGGCGUGCUUAACACAUGCAAGUAGAACGGUGAAGAGCGGCGUUUGUGCUGUGCUCGAGUGGCGCGCACGGGAGUGUCACGUGAGUGUCCCGUCCUUGGCAGUGGGGGAAAAUCAUGGGAAAGGAGCUAAUAUACCGCAUAAGAUCCGGCUACAUGGGGGGGGUAGGUAAAUGUCGGCAGUUGUGGACUGACAGGCGGACUAGCAGUGUGUUAGCUAGGAAGUGGGUUAACGGGGCUCCUAGGCGGGGAUACAUAGCCGACCUGAGAGGGUGAGCGGCCACACGGGGACUGAGACACGGCCCAGACUCCUACGGGAGGCAGCAGUAGGGAAUCUUCGGCAAUGGGGGCAACCCUGACCGAGCAACGCCGCGUGAGUGAAGAAGGUUUUCGGAUCGUAAAGCUCUGUUGUAAGUCAAGAACGGGUGUGAGAGUGGAAAGUUCACACUGUGACGGUAGCUUACCAGAAAGGGACGGCUAACUACGUG
rnacentral:rRNA from 1 species